rnacentral:rRNA from 1 species
AUACGUAGGGGGCGAGCGUUAUCCGGAUUUAUUGGGCGUAAAGCGUGUGUAGGCGGUUUGUUAAGUUUAAGAUUAAAGCCCGAGGCUUAACCUCGGUUCGUCUUAAAAACUGGCAGACUUGAGUGCAGUAGAGGCAAGUGGAAUUUCUAGUGUAGCGGUUAAAUGCGUAGAUAUUAGAAGGAACACCAGUGGCGAAGGCGGCUUGCUGGGCUGUUACUGACGCUGAGACACGAAAGCGUGGGGAGCAAAUAGGAUUAGAUACCCUAGUAGUCCACGCCGUAAACGAUGAGUACUAAGUGUCGGGUAACCGGUGCCGAAGUUAACACAUUAAGUACUCCGCCUGAGUAGUACGGUCGCAAGGCUGAAACUCAAAUGAAUUGGCGGGG